GCGAACGCGAACGCAGAAUCUUCUUCCCUCCACUCGCUCAUCGAAUCAGUAAUUUUCAGUCGAAAAGCUCUCAAUCGCUUGGAGCUUCAAUCUUAAUCAAUGGAUCUCUUUCAUCUACUCGGUUAGAUUCGGUAGUUUCUUCAAUGGAUUUUCCUGCAACUUUUCGCGGGAAUUCCUUUCCCUUGUCUCAUUACAGUUCUUGCUGCUACAUUCGUUUCCAUCCUAGUUUGAUUUCGUUUGCUGGCUUGAAGGAGCAACGGAUUUCUCAUCGCGGCCUUAAGCUUUAUCAGUUUGCCAGCCGUGCAAAGCGAGGGGUUGCUUGUAGAGUUACUGAAACGCAGAAUGAACCAGAUGGCACUAACGAUAAGG